AAUGUGAUGGGUUGCGAUUUUUAUUUAGACAAACGUAUUGGUAACUUCUUGUUAUUUAUUGGUCCCAUGGCAAACGCGCGUGCAAAAGGUCCACAGUCAACUUGAUCGGUAGCUCUUGCACGUUGACUGGCGUUAUGGCAAGAAAAAUGGGUCGACAUCGCUCGACUACACGCAGUGUCGUACGAAUCUGCUGCCAAUGUCUAUAAAGUCGUGGGAGGAAAGUGCAAUCAAUGCUACCUCAGGACUCAUGAAGGGCAAAAAUUUGACAAUGCUGAGUUGGAGGAAUCACACCACCUUGGGCUUCCAAUGACGCCCCUUUGUAGAAAUUCCAUUACAAACCACCACAAGUAUUGUCUUACAGAAUAAGAACAAAUAUGCAGCAGCUAUGUCAUAUGAGAGAGUGAAAGUAACUCAGAGCAAGUAACAAAGUUUACGAGUUAUUUUCACACUUGGGAUGCUUUAGAGAGUUUGACUUGGUGGCUUAGAUAUAGAGAAGAGAAAAAGGCUGAAAAACCUCAACACCCGCAUGAGAAGGCUAAGGUCAGAUAUGGAAGAAAUAAGAAAGGAACAAAAAAAGAUCAAAGAGGGGCAAAGACAAGUAAGAGGAAAAUUUGUAGCGAUUGAAUUGGAAUGUGAACAACUUCGAAAGGAGACUAACCUCAUAAUGCAGCAGAGUGCCAACACCCAAAUCCGCCUUGCUUUCAUGUUCCAAAUCCUGAAAGCAAGAGAAAACCAAGAGUUUGACAAGGCAGCCAAACUCACUUGUGCUCUCCGUGAACUGAUAGCGAGAGAGAAUCAGCAGACGAAAACAAUUGUACCGGUUGCUGGAACUUGUUCUAAUAAAUAAAUUAAGGGUGCCUGAACAUUAAUCUGAUGAAGACGAAGGUUCAAUGGUGGCUGCUGCCUUCAAGUCGUCGCAUUUGGUUGUUUGGUCUGUCUUUUAUGUUGGCUGAGUUCUUCAGUGUGGUCAUCGUCGUUGCCUCUACUAUGCCAUCUAUUUCGUGUUGAUGUUACGUGUUUCAGUGUAUUUCAUGUUUGUGUUGAGUUUUCAAUUGAAUGUAUUAAACUUUUCUGUA